rnacentral:misc_RNA from 1 species
GAGAGAAAGAGAGAGAUGAACAAAAUUAAAGAGUUUGAAACCCUAUUGGAAUUGGUUUUCUACAUAUCUAGUAUAGUAUCAUUUCAACCAAUAUGGGAUUGAUAACUUCAAUACAAAAAGAGAAGAUUAUUAGGAGCUCAAUUGUUGUGCUAGCUGUACCAGUCUUGAGCGGAAAGCUAAAGAAAACAAAGAAAAAAGAGAAAAAGAAGAGAGGUAAAGAAAAGGAAAUCACCCUUCAAAGAUGGACAGGCAAUGCUGGGACAGCUGCAAGCAGAAUGAUGUAGGGCUAGCAAAUGAUUAGUGACUCUUAAAGAUAAAUAUAUAAAUAUAUUUUUAUAUAGAUUUUGUAUCCCAAGUAUUAUUUAUAUUAUGUAUAGGUAAUUAAGAGGUGGGUUAAGCACAGGAACAAGUGUUAAAUUUAGCUUAAAAAAAUUAACAUUUAUAGUUAAUUGAGAGCUGAAUUUAGCAGAUGGGGCAACAAUAUUAAUAAUAAUAGUUGCCUUUUGUUCCUGUGGAUCUGGCACACCACCACCUUUUAAUUUUUAUUCAAGAAAAAGAAAAAAAAAAUUAUAAUUGUACUGAUUGGAUUCUAAUUCAAAAAUAUAAGUGAGUGGAGCUCAUUCGAUUGCUGUUAUAACUUUUUCAUU